CACCCGGCUCCACCUUAUUAUGUCUAGAUAUUUUUUCCGUUCUAUUCUAAUUUCGAGAUCGUGGGGGAGGAGUCAAGCAGACGCUUCGCCGCUCCCUCCUUCGCACGGUUCAGGUCGCACUCCCUUCUUCCGCCGCAUGAGCCCUGCUUCGCCGCCGCCGAGGACCCUUCUGGUGUCGUCUCCCUCGCCCCCUCACCCUCACAGCUCGUCAUCGCAACUGGUUGCGAUCGCGGUCUUGAAGCCCUAGGUUAGGGUUGCUUGGUCGACACCGACAGUUGAUGUCGGGUUCGGCAUCGGCGAGCUCGCCGCACCAGGAGUGGCCGCAACCGCCUCUCCUGCUUGUGCUCCUCCAACGCUUCUACCAGAUCCAGGAUGUCUGGAUGUGUUCCUUGCGAUUGGACGCAGGCGGCAGCCAUAAGCUCCUCUUCAAUUGCAGCAAGAUCCAAGGCAUUCACCUUCAAAGAACUCUCCACUAGCUACUGCCUAAGACCACUCACAGAGAAGGAUGCAUGCUGACCAGCGCCUGGUGGAUAUGAUGCCCUUGGUUCAGUCUUCCAUAUCUACUUUUUUUCGUUGUGUCAAAUGAGCCUCCACAUGAGUUAGGUUACAGCUUAUUUAUGUUGUCAGGGAGCAGGUCCUUGUUGUCUAGCUUUAUAUUAUCACUUAAGUUAUGCAUUCUUGACGAGGAGUUCCGGCCAACGCAUUAGAGGUAAGCUCUCAUAUGUUCAUCGCAUCACAUGUUGAUGAAAAGUUGGGAUCUCGCAUGCAUUGGAUUUUCUAUUUACAUUAGGAGUUCACCAUUGCUUGUUUGGUCAAACUAGAAAUUUCUUUCAUAUUCAUAUUGACUAUAUCACAAAUACUUGUAUGUCAAAUAAAAAAAUUAUAUUUCAUAGUUCAAAGUGAAAUCAUGUGUGAUUCGACUAGUCUUUUGUACACAUCAAUAUUUUGCUAACAGGAAACUAUCUAUAUUUUUUAUGAUUCAUAUAGCUUGUUUCAUAUUUAAUCUCUGGUGCUAAAUUCGUGUUGUUUUCAAGUUCACGUGUGAAACCAUAAUAAUUUACCACUACACAUUAGCUUGAGCUAGUUAGAUUAGUUUAUGGUGAACAAGCACAAAAUAUUUUUCUUAACCAUAGUUUCCUGCAUGUUUUCUUAAAGCUUGAGGCUGCAACUUAAUUAAAUCUUCUUAGCUAAAGGAAUAUAACAGGGUUUUUAUUUUUGAACUCAGAAGUGCUAAAUGAUUGCUCUUAAAAUCUAAUGAGCUACACGAUGCAGCACAACUGUCAUUCCCUGAAAAUAUUUGAUAAUUUGCUUUCAUGUGAACUCUUAGCUUAUAAAUAAUGUUUGUUUGGAUGUAUUCUCAGAUGGGAAGCUAUAUUGCAAUAUAUAAUAUUCUUAACGCCGUGAUUUUAUUUUAA